rnacentral:lncRNA from 1 species
GGACAAGAUGAAGUAUCUGACCUUUCAGCUUCUGGUACUGAAGACAGCAUUGCAAAUAUGAGCAUCUAUCAUGGACCAACCAAUAACUGCAAUAAAAGUGUGAUAAAUGCUGUAUCCCCUGGCAGAUGAUGAGUAUCUUCAAGAUGGUGAGUAUCUUCAUCUCUGUAUCACCAGGACCUGCCUAAAAAAACAGAUCCAUAAUAUAGUCUG